rnacentral:lncRNA from 1 species
AGGGAAAAAAAUUAAAACGUACAAAAAAAAAAAAAAAGACCAAAAAGUGCAUAUAUAUAUUUUAGAUGAAGACUAACUCUGGGAGCAUUUAACAGUGUUUUUGUUUUUAUUUUAACAUUUUAUUUUCCUGCUUUAAAUUUGCAAGCAUUCUCAGGAAUUCUAGGGUAGGAAGCCAGUUUUUUGAAGAUGGUUUAUUUAACCUUAUCUUAUCCUAGAUAGAUGGCUGUUUCUUGUUGAUAAACUUUUACAAGUUCCUGAAUCUUCAAAAUGUUUGAAAGUUUUUACUUUAAAAUAAAAAUUCUAAAAAAAAAAAAAAAUAAAAAGAAAAAGAAAAAAAGAAAAAAUCUCCAAAUGUUACUGUCAAGGGGGGAACAAGAAUUUUAAAGACUAUAAAAUACAUUAAGAAAACUUCUCAAUAUCAGCAACAGAAAUUCAUUGUAAUCUUAAGUUGUGGGAGAAGAAGGGUUAUCAUUUAUAGUGCUUUGUUACUCAUGCAGAUAUGUGCAGUUGCAGGGAGAAGUGUAUGAAUGGAAACCUAUCACUUUGUUCCCUCUUGAUUGAAAGUAAAUGAAAAUAUUCUUCCAAGCACCUUUUUAAAAGCAAAGUGAAACUAUAAACCUAAUUAAAAUGCAGUAUAGUUUAGCUGAAAGAGUCCUCAGUUAGGAGGACUAGCAGGAAAUACAUGAUGGUGCUUCUUUAAACCACUUUUAAGUAGUGCUAAAGAAAACCAGUGCUGACGGAAUACCCAGUAAUGAAGUAGAUUUAUUAUCCUGCCUUUUUCAGUACAGAAGAGGGAGGGAAUAUGUAAAAACUCCAGUAAAAUGUACAUUAGAAAUGAGCUUUUCUGUUUUCACCUAUUUGGUCAGUUUUAUUCCCCACUUGGAGAUUUGCUGCUUGCUUUUCUUCACCCACCCCACCUCCCAGUCUUUCUGUUAUAUUUUCUAUGAGGGGAAAAUACCUGUUAAACUCUUCUGUUCACCCUAUUGCUGCUGGCUGUCAGGGCUUACAGUCUUGAACUUCAGAGUUCGGUGUUGGUUAUGGCCAACUUCUGUCUCCCAGCUCUAAGGGUCAGGGGCUUAACUCUGCCUGAAAUGGCUAGGCUCAAACCACAAAAACCGCGCUAGUGCCUUUUUACAUGCACCCACAUGCCCUACAGUAGGGAAAGGGAGGGAAGACGAGGCAAAGUGAGGCAGUAUAGCCACUUGAUGGAAGUAGAUGUUCCGGUUCUUAAGGAAAAGAGCAUACUGCGUUAAGCACGUCGUGCAAUGAGUUAUGAAACAGUAGUUGAGUUAACUUUUUAUUACUAAAAAAAAAAAAAAGAUGCCAAAUUCUGUCCUUUUCAUAUCAGUUGCCCAGUGUUUUCAUGUUGCGCUGCAUGUACAUCUGAGUGUAUACGUGUGUGUUGAAAAUAAUGCAUCAAUGAUAAUAAUAAUGUGCUUUAAAAAAAAUAAUCCUGUCAUGGGCCAGUAAAAGGAAGGUUUAUUUAGGGAGUUUGGGGGGUUAUUUUAUGGAGAGAAUUUGAGUGCUUUGCCAGAGGUGUUUUACCAAAUCUGCAGUGUCCUAAAAGAGAGGAAGCUGUAGGAUUUAGUCAAAAGGAGCCCAGGAACUUGACAGUCAUUUGGAAGCAGGUCAUGCUUGGCUGCCAAAGGGUUGGCAGCCUGGAGCUUUGACAGUCUGCUGGGUCCAAACCUAUCAUAGUACAACAGUCUGCUCCUCCUUUUGCUAAAUGUGCAGCCUGCAAAUGUUAGUGACUGUCUCCUUAGUGAUAUUUUUCCUAAAUCAUUAAAGCAACAUUAAUCUUAGACUUCUCCGACUGCAGUUGACAGUCGUUUUGUUCCACUCCAAAUUACAUGUAGCUAAUGACAAUGUUGCUCGUAUGGCUUAGUCAUGGCACUUCUAACCAUUGCAAGUGAUUUCUGAGCACCGUGCUAACUAGAUUCAUCUUCUGGGGACAACCAACACUCAAUGUAGUAAAUAAUUCUGCCACCAUUUGAGCUCAUAACAGCUAAAAGUCAGCAGGAAUUGAUGUUAGAGUACUUCUGGGCUUUUACAGAACUGUUCCAGGGAGGGAAUCAGUGGCAGCAUCUUGUUUAAACAUACCGACAAAGAAGGUGGUGAAAAGAGGAUGGGGAAAGCAGAGCUUGGAAUAGGCUAUAGGCAUCUCUUUCCAGAGAAUAAGCAAACAUAACACCGUUCACUGAAAAACACUUUUUACUUUUUCAAGUGACAAACAGAACUCUUUUUAUUAUUUUGUUCUUAGUUUUGGUUCUUCAGGUUAUACAGUUUAAACAUACACAUACUCUACAGGUGGUUUCAGCAUUCCAUUUUUUUUUUUUUCCUUUUUGAAUCCUCCAGUGCUUAUUUUGUAAAGGGAAAAAACAUAAAUACGUUUUAGCAGUCUUUUAAGCAAAUACCCAUUUGUUACCAGCCACUUUGCUUACCCCACCCUGCAGUGUGUAUCAAGCUGAGAAUUUUUGAAUGGGUUUGAUCUCUUCACUGUAUUUCAAUAUUUUAUUUUAGCAGUGAAACAAAGUCUAGCAAGGAGGAGGAAAAAAAAAGGUGGGGUACAGCUCAGAAACCUGUGCUGAGAACUCUGGCAUUUACUUUGGAAAGCAGCUGUAGUACUGUGUGCUUUGGAAGACAUGCCAUCUUUUCCUGAUGUUUUUAUACUUUUACCUGGACCCUUGCCCGGCAGUCUGGAGAGUGGGGGUUUUGUUAGUUUGGGGGUGUUUUUCCAAUCACAGGGCAUCAGGUUUUCCUUAUAUGAGUUUUUUAUUUUGCUUCAUGUUAAGUGGCUUGGGUAAUGAGCAAGAAUAUUAAGCCAAGUGUGUUUUUCCUCUGCAGUAUAAACAGGAUGUUUUCAACAAACUGGCUGGAAUAACCACCUCAAGGAUUAAAUAAAAAGUGAACCUUUACAUUAAGUUGGCCUCCCCAUCCAUGAAAUUUCUAAACAUUUACUCCUUAGAACUUUUCCCCUAUUCUUUCUUCCUAAAAAUGCUGCCACAUCUUUCAUUGUGUCUCAGUAGUGCAUCUAAACAAUACUGUAGGGGGUUUUUUGCUUCAUUCUUAAUUACGUUUAGCUCUUAGGCUUCUAAUUUUGCUUGUGCAUAUUCUCUUCCUGUUGACUUUCAAAGGAGUUAUUUUUUGGGUAUCCGAGAAACCCAAAUUUGGCCAAGGCUUGUCCAGGAAAUCAGGAGUUAUCCUUAUGUGAUUUAGUCCCACUGACCUUAAAUGAAUGAGUACUGCUUGGGGAAGGGCUCUUUGUGUAAUAAACCCUAGCUGGACCAGGGCCAAGGUAGCACAUGAGGACCUGUUGUAUUUCCAGUGCAGCAAACAUCUGUGUUGCAUAUAUCACAUUCACUGUAAAUCAUGUGACCUUAGUAUCCAGGUUUCUCAAGUGGAUUGAAAUGCUGGGUUUGUGGUGGAUGGUUAUUAGCAUCUCAGGGUAGGAGUCCUGACUGAGUAAAAGGUAGUUUUUUCUCUCUGAAGAGGUAAGGUUCCCCUGGCAGAAGCAGCUUUCUUAAUUGUAAAUAUGCAUGCAUGUAUUUGUGGGCAGGAAAGUAAUACAAAAAAAAACUAAGUUGAAAUGAAUUCUAGAAAAUAAACAACAAAACAAAAAACCAAAAAAA